rnacentral:rRNA from 1 species
UACGUAGGGUGCAAGCGUUAUCCGGAAUUAUUGGGCGUAAAGAGCUCGUAGGCGGUUUGUCGCGUCUGCUGUGAAAACUGGAGGCUCAACCUCCAGCCUGCAGUGGGUACGGGCAAACUAGAGUGCGGUAGGGGAGACUGGAAUUCCUGGUGUAGCGGUGAAAUGCGCAGAUAUCAGGAGGAACACCGAUGGCGAAGGCAGGUCUCUGGGCAUUAACUGACGCUGAGGAGCGAAAGCAUGGGGAGCGAACAGG